AGCAGUCCCAUAAGCUACAUUUUUCUGCCUCCCUUGCAGUAAUGUAUCACCAUAUAGCUGAGUUCUUUUCUCCCACAUGCUGCUGUUCAUCCCCUUUCCCCAUCUGCAAGCUGGAUGUGGAGGACUCUGAGGUCUUAGAAAAUGAUGAAGAAAUAUAUGAAAGGACCGUGGACCCCAGAAUGACCACGUGGAAUGUUUACUGGUGACCAGGAAUACACAUUUUGAACAUAGGCCUUGGAACUUGCAUUGAAAUACACCAGUGGCUUUCCUCAUUCUCCAGUGUGUCAGUAUAUUGGACUUCUCAGACUCCAUGAUUACAAAGGCAGAAGAAGCUCUCCAGAUGUCUUCCAGUAACGUUGAAGUUUUUAUCAGAAUGUUGCAAGGAAACACCAAUUGGGUCACCUGGGAUGACCUUCAAUGACCUGAAGACAUUUACUGAAGGAGCUGUGUUAAGUUUUUUAACAUCUUCUAUUGAGUAAAAGUGAAAAGCAGCUUUUUACUUGGUUGAAACCAAUUGAGAAAGAAAUUCUAUCAAAUAUCAAGUAUGUGCAUGAACUUUUAAAAAGACAAUUUUAUUGACCUAUAUUGAACUUCAUAAGUUUUGCCUAUUAACAAUAAAGCUACUGUGAGCAUUUUUGUACAAGU
rnacentral:lncRNA from 1 species